UCUUUUUGUUUUUUAAACGUCUGGAAUGGAGCGUAGACUGCAACGGCUCUGAAUAAAUGGCUUUCUGUUAGAUUCAUCCAUGGCUGUUGUUCUUGAAGAUCUGAAAAAAAACUAUUAUCGUUGAAGAGCUAAAAAAACACUUACCGUUUAGAGCAAAAAAGAAUUGUUACCGUUUGAAGACAAUUUGAUCUCUUAUAUAAGAGAGUAAAGUAGUCAGAUAGAGUAAAGUAGCUCUGUUUCCUGUGGACUGUAGUCAGAUAGAGUAAAGUAGCUCUUUUAGGUUGUUUCACAGUCUUACAUAGGAGAAGAUCAGGAACGUUUCGUUGUUCCUAUAAAUUGUUUGCAGAGUGCUUGCUUCCUUGAAUUGCUCAAGGAGGCAGGGGAGGUUUAUGGGUUUGAUGAAAAAGGGCCUCUCAAGCUCCCCUGUAGUGUGGAUCGUUUUCAUUAGGUUUUGCAGUCAAUCUAGAAAGAGAGAGAAAAUUUACAGAAAACCCGGCAAUUUACAGACUAUAUCAGCUGUCAAAUUUGUGCCAUUUCUGAAUUGUGUAUAGCCAGUUAGCAGAAACCGCGAAUGGCCUUGCAAGCAUGACUGAGAUUGUGCAUGAGAGAUUUCGAUUGAGUAGAUGGUUCUGCAGUUGCACUUGCUCUGGCAAUGGACAUAGGCGUAAAUAUGGUGACAAUUAAUGUAGGUCUGGUUGUAGGGCCUGGCUUUGCAUACAAAAUCUCAGGAUCCACCAUAACAUAUCUCAUAGGAUUUCCUAGUGAUCUUGAUGUGACUGCAUUCUACACUCUGAUAUAGCUCAGCUCACUUACUGGAAUUUGGCAGGUCAUAACAGUGGAAAUAUCUCUAAUAUUGAUUCAGGAACAUGAGCACCAAUACCCUAUUCCUUAGCUGGAAGUAACCAAAGAAAUCGAUCUAACAAUCCAUUUGUCCAAAUAUGACUGAAAUAGAAGCUAUAAAUGCAGUUGCAAGUACUCAAGGCUUUUCCAAAGGCAUGAUAAUUGGAGAAGAUGAAAGUCACAAAAUGGAAAAGGAAACAUUUCUGCAUGGUAUGUCGUCUGAUAAUCGAGUCACUCAGCAGUCCUCUAACGUAGGCAAUCUUGGGAAGGAGAACUUGCUUUUUGACGCAAAUAAAGAAGAAAUUAGAAAAGGAGAAAUGUUGGUAGAGUGUUUUCAAUCUAAAGAGACAUCAAAGAAAAAAGAAGCUUAAGAAGCAAGAGCUGCAAAAUCCAGUGGCCAUACAAAUGGAGAGUUGCAGGAUGAACAGCAGGAGAAUUCUAAAGUAAUUGCUGGCAAGUUGUAUGAAUCCAAACUGAAAUGGGAGAAUAAUUUAAUUGAUGACAAGGCAUACGGUGCAUACAAAUUGUUGCAGUAUUGUAUAUAUUCAUUGAUAUUAUAAGAAAUGCUAAAAAUUGUUAGUUUUCAUUUGUUCUCGACUUUUACUACAGCAAAAGAGGAUGCCAUACUACCAACGUUUGACACAUUCCAGAUCUCUGAAAACUGGCAAUAGUUUACUUGCAAAGAGUGGCAAUAUGUCUUGUCAGAGCCAAAAUUCAAGGCUUCCAAAGAGUUCAGUCAUAACAACAAAGAGUAAAAUACAAAGUGGCAAGGACAGAGUUUUAGCAUUUACAAAUAAAGGAAGCAGAGCAUAACAACAAAGAGUACAAUACAAAGUGACAAGGACAGAGUUUUAACAUUUACAAAUAAAGGAAGCAGAGCUGAGGUUGAGAAUGUUGAAGUCACAUCAGCUACAUCAAAGAGUGUCCACUUCAUAAGAAUAUAGAUCCUAAGGCAAAAUCACACUCUUCCACAACCUUUUACACUGGCUACUGAUAAAAGGGCUUCAUUUGGAUCGCAACAAACUGGCAGUGAAGCAGCUCAGAAGCAUUAUAGGCGUUCUUGCUACAAGUAAUGUGACAUCCCCUGUUGCUGGAAAAAAGCAGGUAAUGGGACGUUUUUCAAAAUUUGAUUAGUCCAAAUAGUUUGGAAGAGCAUCUAAAUCUUAACUGAGGGAAAAUGAUUCGAUGGUUGAUGUUUAUUGAUCUUGGUAAUGCAUGGUGUUUGAUAGAGAUAUGUUAUUUGGUGAUGCAUUGUGCUUCAAUUAUGAGAAAAUAGAUCCCGACUCGUAAUUUUUCGUUUGGAAUAUUCGUUAUUUGUACCGUUGACUGCAAAAUCUGCGCUAAGAGUUUCAGAAACCAAAAUUUCCCAUUCCAUUGUACACAAGUGAGUGUUUUUUAGCCUAAUGGAAAUUUUCCAGAAUCAUUGAAUUCGGGCCUAAUGGAAUUUUUUAAGAAUCAUUGUUAUAACGGAUGUGCAUUGAUAGUUGGCUUGUAAUAGUCAAACUGUUCUCAUUUCAGACAAUGUUGAUUUUAGCCUAAUGGAAAUUUUCCAGAAUCAUUGAAUUAGGGCCGCCUCAUGGAAAUUUUUUAUAAUCAUUGCUAUAACGGAUGUGCAUUUGAUAGUUGGCUUGUAAUAGUCAAAUUGUUCUCAUAUUCAGACAAUGUUGAUUUUAUGGUUAAUCGUACACAACCUAAUUGACAAUCACAGCAGACUUGGAACGAAUGUACUCAUAUUGUUGAUGUAUUAGUCUUCUCGAGGCAUUCAAGAUCAACUGAAGCCUCCAAAAGCAAAACAAAGAUUGUUGCUGCUUCCACUGUUACCAUAUCUAGAUGUAAUGAACGAGCUCAGAAGCGAAAAUAGGUCAUUCAAUACAACUUUGGGGUUCACAUAUAAUUCCAGUAGAUGAGGAAGGAACCAACCACUUUUGAUUUUAGAAAUGAGAGGAUUAUUGGAAAGUUCCCAGAGGAUAUGAUCAUAAUUAUGUCUUCAAUUGUGACGAAACAAAGGAUGGUCUGAAGCAUGCUGUCAAAAUUAAGGAUCCUUCCAGUUCUCAGUUUCUUAAUAAAUCAUAACUCAAUAAUUAUUCUGUGAUUUAAGUUUUCUGUAAGCUCUUUCACUUGAUUUUAUUUAUUUUCACUUGAUUUUAUUUAUUUUUAAUAAUUCAUGACUCAAUAAUUAUUCUUGUGAUUUUAGAAGAGGAGCCACAUACUGAUCAAGUAUGCAGAUCUACUUCAACAACAUUUCGAUCAGCUUGCAAUAUUGAAAACAUGGGAUGCUGAUAAUGUCUACUUCAAGCAUCUGAUGUAUCAGAGGCAGUAUAAUCAUAAGUAUCUUUGCCAUGUAUGUAGAGUGAUGCUGGAGUAUCUCAAUAGUUAUGGCAGUAAAUGCAAAAUCAAUUUUAAUUUUACAGAU